UGUAGCAGUACGUAAUACUUGAAUAAUAAAAAAUUUAAAUCUCGCUGUACUGUUUGUACCUGAGUACGCGUGGACAUCAAAUUAGAACAUUAGAAAAAAUUUAAAUACGUGUUCAAGUUUUCAAAUAUCAAAAAUCGCCUCGAUCGAAACCUAGAAGACUAGAAUACAAAUUUAUUUUCAAAAAUAAAAUCCAUCAAUCCCAAGUCUCACAGUUUUGUCGGGCUUAUUGAUUGUUUUACACGUUUUUUUCGACCUGCUUCAGCCACCAUGAUUUAAAAUAAAAUUAAAAGACAAUCUAAA